CGUCAAAGCCAGGCCCCAAACUCAUGUUUCCUGACUCUGGUUUGGUUCCUAUUAAUGUUGUAUUUCUCAGUGUUUUUUUUUUUUAUUUUGGACAGGAUGGCUCUUCCAUGGUACCAGGGUCCAGGAGACCCUGAGCAUCUAACCCAGGGAUUUGAAACUGUUUCCUACAGAGCUGCCUCAGGGGCACUCGAGAGAAAAGGACAGGGAAAAACGAAGAGAAAAAGGGAAAAAAGAGGAUGGGGAAACAGGGCCUGAGAGGGAAAGAAGAAGAGAGGCUAAGGAGGAGGCAGGAGGAGGGAGAGAAAGGAAGGGAUGGAGGGUGAGCAGGGCGGGAGGGGGUAGAGAGAGAGGGGUUUAGGGGGGAGGGGAGAGAAAGUGAGUGUGGGGGAGGGGAGGAAAGAACAAGAGGCUGCCGGGCUGCUCUAUGAAAUAAGAAAUAAACAACAGCCACUUUCCUGCCCAUGAGGCAGCCAUGUUAUUUGGGGCGUUGAAUUCCUCAGGACAGGGUUCUUUAUCAUCUGGAAUAACAGACCCGCCGGUGGACGGAGCAGGCAGGCGCGGGCCGGGGGUGCAACUCCUCGCUCCCCUGGCGAUGGGCAGCCUGCUGUCUGUGUCAGCACAGGGAAGCCCGCCCGGGAAGGCAUCCUCCAGGGGGCACUGGGGCCAAGAGGGCUCUCAGCUGGUGCUGAGUGAGCUGUUCAAAGUAAACAAAGGCUCCGGGCCAGUGGGACCCUCCUGUUGGUGGUAACGCAGACAGGACGAGAGCCCUGCAAGGAGCUUGGUGUUUUCAGCUCUCCAGUUGCUUUGAAAGAAAGAAAGAAGGAAAGAAGCAGAGCCACAGCGUGCAAUUUAUUAUUCUUUAGGACGUAAUAGCUAACAGCUCCAAAAACAUUCUGGACGUGCUGCACAGCUCAUCAAGGAGAACGUCAGCCCCGAAUGCGGGGAGGAUAAACACCUCAGGUAUCAGGGUGCUGGCUGGUGUGGGGCCAUGCUAGGGGACCAGCUCUGUGCCUGCCUCUCCUGGGGCCGGGGACAGCACUCACCCACCAGCUCCUCAGUGCCUCAACAUCCUCUUUGCUCCUGUAAUAGGAAGCAUUCUAGUCGGAUCAGACUCAAGCUGAAGUCCUAAUGUCCUAGGCCACCAGGAGGCCAUGGAAGUCCCACAGGGUCGGGAGGCAGUCCAGCCACCUGACCUGCCAACUCGCUUGCCGUGGCCUUGGACGGGUCACACGGUUUACCUUGAGUCUAGGUGAAUUCAAGAGUCUCUUCGAGAUUUAGCAUUAAACAAGCCUUCAAAAACACACAUGAGGAGAGGUCCUGAGAGGCCAGGUGGGUCCCAGGGCUGGGCACAAGAUAAACCAAUAUUUGUUGAGUGAAUGGGUGAAGAGAAGGCAGCUUAGGAGGGGGCUACGGCCCACCUUCACCCUCAAGGGGAGGGGAAACUGUUCCUUCUCCCAUUACCCGCAGCUCUGGGCCCUCUAAGUCUCCCCGGGGGUCAGGAAACUUUCAUUUGUGGUGGUGAACGCAGCAGGCAGCCUUGGGGCCAGGAGCAGGCAGACAGGCAGCGGGGAGACUGCCAGGGGCUUGGGGCACGCGGUCCACUGCAGGGAGCGCCAGAAUGUACACUCGAGGCAGCCUCAGCCUGGGCUAGGAUCCCAUGUGGAAGACCCAGGUUUGCCAGCUGCCUGCUGUGGAGACCCUGAGCAGAUCUCUGCCCCCGAGAAGCACAGCCUGUCCUGGUGUUGACUCUGCCUGUGUCCCCUUGGCUUUCCGUGCUCUGCCACAGCGCCACGGGCCGGCCUUGGUGCAGCCUCUCUUCAUCUCUCUCCAGGACGGUCCUUCCAGCCUCCUCACUGUUCUCGUUGCCUUCAGCCUUGCCCUGCUCCGCUCCACCCUCGGUGCUGCCUCCUCUAAAGUGCUCUUCUAGCGUGCUGAUCAGAUGGGGCCUCUCUCUGGCACAUAACCCUCAUGUCUGUAGUCCCGCUGCCUCAGGUGGAAGUCCAAGCGUUCAAGACCUCGUGGGCACCGGUCCUUGCUCACAGUUCCAGUUUCAGCACCUGAGUCUGCUUGUCUGCAUGCACCUUAGGUUCGAGCUGCUUUAUUCCCAGAAGGCACCACUUUCUCAGAUGCAUGUACCUUUGCAUGUGCUGUUCCUUCCGCACGUGCUCUUCCAAAACUUGUCUCAAGCCUCUGCUCUGUCUGGAGGACAGAGCUCGGGGAAGGCCUCAUGGACAAGCAAAUCCCUUCCUUUUAUACACAGUCCCACUGCAGCCUCCACUGCCUGCAACACUCUC
rnacentral:lncRNA from 1 species